CGGGCCGCUCUACCCUUCUCUUCCCCGUUGUCGCCGCCGCCGCCGCCGGGGUCGCCGGGAUCCUUUGGUCUGCGAGUGUUCGUGGUAAGCCUGCCGCUCACCCACCAGUCCUCCGGUCCACCGGCUUUCGUUUCGUCGCCGCUGCCUGCCCGAGGGUCCGGUCGACCGGGGAACGCGCCCUCCCACCGCAUCCACCCGCCUGCGGGCCGGGACCAUGGAGGACGUGAAACUGGAGUUCCCUUCCCUCCCUCAGUGCAAAGACGACGCCGAGGAGUGGACCUAUCCAAUGAGACGAGAGAUGCAGGAAAUUUUACCUGGAUUGUUUUUAGGUCCAUAUUCUUCUGCUAUGAAAAGCAAGCUACCUAUACUACAGAAACAUGGAAUAACCCAUAUAAUAUGCAUAAGACAAAAUAUUGAAGCAAACUUUAUUAAACCAAACUUUCAACAAUUAUUUAGAUAUUUAGUCUUGGAUAUUGCAGAUAAUCCAGUUGAAAAUAUAAUACGUUUUUUCCCAAUGACUAAAGAAUUUAUUGAUGGGAGCUUACAAACUGGAGGAAAAGUUCUUGUCCAUGGAAAUGCGGGGAUCUCGAGGAGUGCUGCCUUUGUUAUUGCCUAUAUUAUGGAAACAUUUGGAAUGAAGUACAGAGAUUCAUUUGCUUAUGUUCAAGAAAGAAGAUUUUGCAUUAAUCCUAAUGCUGGAUUUGUUCAUCAACUUCAGGAAUAUGAAGCCAUCUACUUAGCAAAAUUAACAAUACAGAUGAUGUCACCACUGCAGAUAGAAAGAUCAUUAUCAGUUCAUUCUGGUGCCACAGGCAGUUUGAAGAGAACACAUGAAGAAGAAGAGGAUUUUGGAAACAUGCAAGUGGCAACUGCACAGAACGGCUGACUCGAGCAAUAUUAUAGAGGAUGUGAAUUUCUAUUUGAGGAGAAAAUACUAAAGACAAUAAUGUGAAUUGAUAAAAACACAAGUAGUUUCUUUUCAAUUACAUGUUGCUUCCAAACAUGUUUCUCUCAACUCGUUGAGCAACAUUUUAAGAUUUUGGACUUCUACAAUAGCUGGCACUGAUGGUUUUAGUCUUUUUUGUUUUGUUAACCUUAAAAUUCUAUUAGAAACCAAGAAUUUUGGACUUGCAAAGAGAGCUCCUGGUGGAUGAGAACGAGACCUUGAGGUCAGCAGUCCAACAGUUAGCAGCCUCUGCUCCAGGGCUCCUUCAUGUGGCUAUUACAGGGAUUUAGUCUGUGUCAUACAAAAUAUUGCCAGUGUUUUUUUGUUUUGAUUCCAUUCUUCCACCUACUGUUUUAAGUAGUUCUUCUAGUAGCUCUUACUGCUCUUGUAUUUGGUUUCAUUUCUGUGGUUCCUUUAUUUCUACUACUGUUUUGUGCUAGUUAACUAAGAUAAAUUUAGCUGAUCAUGAUUUAUUUCUAGAGUGUUUGAAUAAUGUAUGUAAUUUGGAGACAAUUUAAAGUGAAACUAUCAAAAAAUAGGAAAACGAUUGUUUUUUGAAGGUAUGAAUAACUUAAAUAUUAAUACUCUAAUAGCAGUAUUCUAAUUUGUUAAUUGGUUCAUGUUCAUUUCUUAUACUCGAUGUUUAGAUAGCCGUUACUUUUGUUUAUUGAUAUCUGCUCUAUAGUGGAAAAAAUAAACCAUGACAUAGCAUUUGUUAAACAACUCUCAACCACUUUUAGAGCAGAUUAGUUAGUUUUGCGGGGGGAUUUUGUACCUCCUCUGAGUAAUCAGAAAAUGUUAAGCAUGCCCUUUUAAAGAAAAUAUAAGAUUUCUAAUUGUCUUAUUACCAUGGUAAUUCAAGUGAAUUAGAAAUAUUGAACUGCAAUCUUGAAUUAUAGGGUUGAGAUGUAUAUACCAGGAUCUCAACUUGAUGUAAAGUAAAUGAGCAGUUACCUGACGGACUUUCUUUUUAAUGAUUUAACCCAUAACAUAACAAUUCAUAAUUCCAUAACAAAUGUUUCAUUUCGGUAUGUACUUUAUCAUUGUAUUCAACAGUGCUCCAAUAAGGAAAUGAUAGGAAGUAUCUGAGGAUUAUUCAAAGUUUUUAUUAGCUAAUUUAUUAGAAAUUGGAAGUUUCUAGGGUCUUGGAAUGCUGGAUUUUUGUCUUACCCAUCCAUGGCAGCUAAAAAGGAAAAAAAAAAAAUUCAGUAUAUUCAGGUUUACAUGUUAGCUCCCUUCAUAGGGAGUUGUCAUACCUCACAGUUCAAAGUGUAUUCUAUAGAUCAGUAACAUUAUACUGACAUGUAAUUGCAAUUUACUAUGCAGCAAAAAUGAUUCAAGAAAAAAAACCAAUAGUGUCUCUUUACCUUUGUAUAGGCAACUCCUUCUUAAUUUCCUAUUAGCAAAUAUUUGUAUUUGGAUAUAAUGCUUAAUGUGUGUAUAGGAAUGUCACGGUGCAAAAUGCUGCUAGCCCUGGCACAAAGUAUUAAAAUUAUUUUGUGAAGAUUGGUGGUUGUAUUAAACUGUUGUGCCAUUAUACCUCAAAA